rnacentral:rRNA from 1 species
CUACUGGACCUAGCGGCGGACGGGUGAGUAAUGCUUAGGAAUCUGCCUAUUAGUGGGGGACAACAUUCCGAAAGGAAUGCUAAUACCGCAUACGUCCUACGGGAGAAAGCAGGGGACCUUCGGGCCUUGCGCUAAUAGAUGAGCCUAAGUCGGAUUAGCUAGUUGGUGGGGUAAAGGCCUACCAAGGCGACGAUCUGUAGCGGGUCUGAGAGGAUGAUCCGCCACACUGGGACUGAGACACGGCCCAGACUCCUACGGGAGGCAGCAGUGGGGAAUAUUGGACAAUGGGGGGAACCCUGAUCCAGCCAUGCCGCGUGUGUGAAGAAGGCCUUAUGGUUGUAAAGCACUUUAAGCGAGGAGGAGGCUACUAGUAUUAAUACUACUGGAUAGUGGACGUUACUCGCAGAAUAAGCACCGGCUAACUCUGUGCCAGCAGCCGCGGUAAUACAGAGGGUGCGAGCGUUAAUCGGAUUUACUGGGCGUAAAGCGUGCGUAGGCGGCCAUUUAAGUCAAAUGUGAAAUCCCCGAGCUUAACUUGGGAAUUGCAUUCGAUACUGGAUGGCUAGAGUAUGGGAGAGGAUGGUAGAAUUCCACGUGUAGCGGUGAAAUGCGUAGAGAUCUGGAGGAAUACCGAUGGCGAAGGCAGCCAUCUGGCCUAAUACUGACGCUGAGGUACGAAAGCAUGGGGAGCAAACAGGAUUAGAUACCCUGGUAGUCCAUGCCGUAAACGAUGUCUACUACCCUUUGGGGCCUUUGAGGCUUUAGUGGCGCAGCUCACGCGAUAAGUAGACCGCCUGGGGAGUACGGUCUCAAGACUAAAACUCAGAUGAAUUGACAGGGGCCCGCACAGGCCAUGCAGCAUGUGGUUUAAUUCUAUGCAACGCGAAGAAGCUUACCUGCCCUUGAGGUACUAGAAACUUUCCAGACAUGGAGUGGGUGCGUUCGGGAAUCUAGAUAAAACUGCCUGCAUGGCUGUGAUAGACUCAUGUCC